rnacentral:rRNA from 1 species
GUAGGUGGCAAGCGUUGUCCGGAAUUAUUGGGCGUAAAGCGCGCGCAGGCGGUUCUUUAAGCCUGAUGUGAAAGCCCACGGGCUCAACCGUGGAGGGUCAUUGGAAACUGGAGAACUUGAGUACAGAAGAGGAAAGCGGAAUUCCACGUGUAGCGGUGAAAUGCGUAGAGAUGUGGAGGAACACCAGUGGCGAAGGCGGCUUUCUGGUUUGUAACUGACGCUGAGGCGCGAAAGCGUGGGGAGCAAACAGGAUUAGAUACCCUGGUAGUCCACGCCGUAAACGAUGAGUGCUAAGUGUUAGGGGGUUUCCGCCCCUUAGUGCUGCAGCUAACGCAUUAAGCACUCCGCCUGGGGAGUACGGCCGCAAAGGCUG